rnacentral:rRNA from 1 species
AUUGAACGCUGGCGGCAUGCCUUACACAUGCAAGUCGAACGGUAACAGGUUAAGCUGACGAGUGGCGAACGGGUGAGUAAUGUAUCGGAACGUGCCCAGUCGUGGGGGAUAACUGCUCGAAAGAGCAGCUAAUACCGCAUACGACCUGAGGGUGAAAGCGGGGGAUCGCAAGACCUCGCGCGAUUGGAGCGGCCGAUAUCAGAUUAGGUAGUUGGUGGGGUAAAGGCCUACCAAGCCUACGAUCUGUAGCUGGUCUGAGAGGACGACCAGCCACACUGGGACUGAGACACGGCCCAGACUCCUACGGGAGGCAGCAGUGGGGAAUUUUGGACAAUGGGGGCAACCCUGAUCCAGCCAUUCCGCGUGAGUGAAGAAGGCCUUCGGGUUGUAAAGCUCUUUUGUCCGGAGCGAAACGGAUGCGGUGAAUAUCCGCGUCUACUGACGGUACCGGAAGAAUAAGCACCGGCUAACUACGUGCCAGCCGCCGCAGUAACAC